rnacentral:rRNA from 1 species
UACGUAGGGUGCGAGCGUUGUCCGGAAUUAUUGGGCGUAAAGAGCUCGUAGGUGGUUUGUCGCGUUGUUCGUGAAAACUCACAGCUCAACUGUGGGCGUGCGGGCGAUACGGGCAGACUUGAGUACUGCAGGGGAGACUGGAAUUCCUGGUGUAGCGGUGAAAUGCGCAGAUAUCAGGAGGAACACCGGUGGCGAAGGCGGGACUCUGGGCCGAUACUGACGCUGAGGAGCGAAAGCGUGGGGGAGCAAACAGG